rnacentral:rRNA from 1 species
UAGCAUAUCAAUAAGCGGAGGAAAAGAAACCAACAGGGAUUGCCCUAGUAACGGCGAGUGAAGCGGCAACAGCUCAAAUUUGAAAUCUGGCGUCUUCGGCGUCCGAGUUGUAAUUUGCAGAGGGCGCUUUGGCAUUGGCAGCGGUCCAAGUUCCUUGGAACAGGACGUCACAGAGGGUGAGAAUCCCGUACGUGGUCGCUAGCCUUUACCGUGUAAAGCCCCUUCGACGAGUCGAGUUGUUUGGGAAUGCAGCUCUAAAUGGGAGGUAAAUUUCUUCUAAAGCUAAAUACUGGCCAGAGACCGAUAGCGCACAAGUAGAGUGAUCGAAAGAUGAAAAGCACUUUGGAAAGAGAGUUAAAAAGCACGUGAAAUUGUUGAAAGGGAAGCGCUUGCAGCCAGACUUGCCUGUAGUUGCUCAUCCGGGUUUCUACCCGGUGCACUCUUCUAUAGGCAGGCCAGCAUCAGUUUGGGCGGUUGGAUAAAGGUCUCUGUCAUGUACCUCCUCUCGGGGAGAACUUAUAGGGGAGACGACAUGCAACCAGCCCGGACUGAGGUCCGCGCAUCUGCUAGGAUGCUGGCGUAAUGGCUGUAAGCGGCCCGUCUUGAAACACGGACCAAGGAGUCUAACAUCUAUGCGAGUGUUUGGGUGUCAAGCCCGAACGCGUAAUGAAAGUGAACGGAGGUGGGAACCUUUCGGGGUGCACCAUCGACCGAUCCUGAUGUCUUCGGAUGGAUUUGAGUAAGAGCAUAGCUGUUGGGACCCGAAAGAUGGUGAACUAUGCUUGAAUAGGGUGAAGCCAGAGGAAACUCUGGUGGAGGCUCGCAGCGGUUCUGACGUGCAAAUCGAUCGUCAAAUUUGGGCAUAGGGGCGAAAGACUAAUCGAACUAUCUAGUAGCUG